rnacentral:miRNA from 1 species
UGCCAUAUCCAAUGCUUCUCC